rnacentral:rRNA from 1 species
UACGAAGGGGGCUAGCGUUGCUCGGAAUUACUGGGCGUAAAGCGCACGUAGGCGGGUCGUUAAGUCGGGGGUGAAAUCCUGGAGCUCAACUCCAGAACUGCCUUCGAUACUGGCGACCUUGAGUCCGGGAGAGGUGAGUGGAACUCCGAGUGUAGAGGUGAAAUUCGUAGAUAUUCGGAAGAACACCAGUGGCGAAGGCGGCUCACUGGCCCGGUACUGACGCUGAGGUGCGAAAGCGUGGGGAGCAAACAGG